GCUCUGUGCUAGGCACUAAGGGUGUGGGCAGAUUCAGGCGCAGUUUACAAGGAUCCCUUGCUUGGCAGGCUUGGUGAACUCACAGACCAAGGCGGAGAAGAAAGGAAACGUUCGUCGCCUUUUGAGGACGUGCCAGCACUUAUCGAAGUGUUUUUUGCUUGCCGAAUCCUAUGUUCAGCACACCAAGGAUCCAGGGAUACCUACGACAAGAGCCUGCCCUCAACUCUGGUGGGAAGACAUAGAAAUGAACAGUUCACAGCACUCCCUGAGGCCACCCCACUGCCUGGCCUUGUGCUGGGCCCUGGACCUCCGACUCUGAAGACCAGUGAAACCAGUUCAGGGGCGGAAGCAGAGAUGGAUGUAAGCAGUUAUCACACAACGUUCUCUGAGCUGACACAGAGAAAUGCAGGAAUCUGAGGGAUCCCAGAGCGGGGGCCCUAGCCCAGCCUGGGAGAAGGCUGCAGGGAGGGCUUCCUG